AUUCGCUCUGUGACCAGCUGCAGAGUCAGUCGGCCUCUCCUGGACCUUGCCGGGCCGCCUGCGGGCACCAGAGCUGCAAACAUGCGAAGACUUCAACGACAAGAAUAAGAUCUUUGCUCGGCUGAUGGACAUCAUGCCCGGAGGACCAGAGUCGAGCGGCGCCACGGAGCCGGCACAGUACACCUGCAGCAUCGUCACCCAGGAGACGCAGACGGCCGAGCUGCCGCCGCCGUCCCCGUCCGCCGACCAGCAGCCGGUGGCAGCCACGGCCGAGACGACCUCCCCGGCCGGUGACGGAGCGCCGUCCGAGGGUCGGAGGGACGCCGUGUCAGCGCCGCCGCCGCCGCUGGUGUCGCCCUCCUCACCCGUCGUCAGCCACCCUCCGUGGGCCCGCCAGGCCCGAGUGGUGGAGUCUGUGUCCCCCGAGGGCACCUCUCCGACGCCGUGCAGCCAGCCCAUCUGGGCCCGCUCGGCUCGGCCGGCGUCCGCUGAACUGCCGUCUCCGUCUGCCGGCGGCGGCCACCUGCCCUGGACGCGCCACGUGCGGCCCUCGGCCCGCUCCUCCAGCGUCACACGACUGGCGAGCGCCUUCAACGCGGCCGACGCGCCGGGCCCGCUGCCCACGUCACCGUCGGCCGACCGGCGCACGCGGCUGGAGAAGACCCGCAGCAUGUACGCUCCCAGUGGCAGCGUCGACGGGCCUCCACAACCAUCCCGCCAUGAGCCACCUCAACAGACGCGGAAGCUGUCUGUACCGGACGCGCUAGAGAAGCGACACGCCCUAUCGCGAUCCAAGAGUGCCGAACACAUCUUCGGCAGGGAAAGGAUGCCACUAAAGCAGACGCCGUUCCAUAAAUUUGAAAACAUGGAGCGCCAGCGAGAGUCACAAAUGGCAGCGCUUCAGGCGGAGCAACGUGCUCAGCAGGAGCACCAGCAGCAACUGCAACAACAGCAGAAGCAGCAGCAGUUACAGAAACAACAGCUUCAACAGCAACAGCAGCAACUGCAGCUACAGAAACAGCAAGAGCAGCAGCGACAGCUGCAAAAACAACAGCAAUAUCAACAGCAGCAAGAAAUGCACAGACAGCAGCAGUUACAUCAGCAACAGCAAGAAUUUCAGCGGCAGCAGCAGCUACAGCAGAUGAAUCAACAGCAGCCACAUCAGCAACUUCCGGGAACUGCAGUCAUUCCUCACCAGCAACGAAUUCCAGAUAGAAUUUACGUACAGAGUUCGCCAAACGAUUCCCAGCAAAAUCAGCCGAUUCAAUCGCAUUACGCUCAGCCCACAUACAGUCAGGGAGUGAGCGAUCCUCAUCACGGACACAUCCAGCAGGGACCUCACCCACACAUGGUUCCACCCGACCAUCACGUUACAAAGCGUCCUCCCGUCAGUCCUCACCACCAUCCCCAUCCGGUGCAUACCCAGCCCGUGGACGCGCCGCCUGUCCCAAACCUGCAGGCGGACGUCACCUACCACUACCGCCACCACAACAUGAAUCAGUCCCAGCCGCCACCGAACGGGCACACAAGCCACAGUCCUACAGAUCACCAGGCCCAGUACUCUCAACCACUUCAGCAGCAGCAAGACCUGCAGCACCAGCCCAGUCCUCCGCACAUUCACGGUCCUCAGUAUGCACACGGUCCCGGUACUGCACAAGGCGCACCUCAUCAACAAGGACCGUUCAACGCUCAACAACCACAUUAUCAGGAUACUACUCACCAGGGUAUACAUCAUUAUGGGCCUCAGCAAUGCCAUCCUGCUCCUAGCCACGUUCAGUCCCCUCCGCAUUACCAUGCUCAGCAGUACCCGCAGCUGCAGCAGCAGCAGCAGCAGCAGGCAAAUCUUCAGCAUUCAGGGCCACACCACCCUCAGCCAAGCCAGUUUUAUCCGGCCCCUCAGCAGCAUCGGGCCCAUAUUCAAAGUCAAGGAUUCCAGCAAAGUCAAGGUCCGUCUCAGCCUGUCACUCAUUCUCAAUUUGAGGGACAACCUCAGAAUUUUCAGCAAUACAAGGAGCAUCCAAACGUUCAGGCCCACCGACUCCAGGAGGCUAAUCAUCCGAGCUUUACCGACCACCAGGCUUCCCAGCAGUCUUACAGCUCGCAGUAUCCUCACAGUCCACAGCAUCAACCCAGUCAACAGUACUUCCAAAACCCACAAUACCCACACAAUCCACAGUAUCCACAUAGUCCACAGAACGCUCUCAGUCCAAAUCAGCAGCAUCCCGCCCACCAGCAGCUCAACACGUACCAGCAGCACCAGCAACAGCCCUUUCAGCCAGUUCAGCAUCAGCCGCCGGUCUCCCAGCACAUGCAGCAGCCCCCCGUGCAGCGAGUCCAGCCUCCGGCGGUGCCUCACCACCCACAGCAGAUGGUCGGCCCCGUCUACCAGUCAACGCCACCCCUGUCUCCGUCGGGGGUGCUCAGCCCAGCUCGUACCGCCCACCAGGGCUCCACCUCUCCCCGCUCGGGAUCUGGGGGCUCCCCGCAGACGCCGGAGCGCGGAGGACGGGUGUUCGUGCCGCUGCAGUCCGCCGCCGACGCCGAGCCCGACUCCCGGCCGCCCUGGGCCGGCGCUCGCGGCUCCGGCCGGGUCAAACAGCGCGCUGCCUCGCUGUCGGGCGCCGAGCCGCCGCGACCCGAGCCGGGUUCUGCCGCCGGCCGGCCGCCGUCGGGCGACUUCGGUCGGCACAUGUCGGCCUUCGCAUCGACGGGUCGCGGCCGGGCGCCGCCGUGGCCACUCCCCAAACAGCUGUCAUGUGACGCCGCUCCGGACCUGCGGACCGCCUCACUGGCCCGCGCCUCGGGGGCUCCGCUACCGACGGCGCCGUCUGCCAGGGUACCGCAACAGCAGCCUCCGCGAGAUCACGGUCCCGACUUGCGGACGGCGCCGAUGGCCCGCGCUGCUUCCCAGCAGCAGCAGCAGCAGCAGCAGCAGCAGCAGCAGCAGCAGCAGCAGCAGCAGCUGUGGCAGCAACAACAACAGCAACAGGCUCAGCAGGAGUAUCAGCGGCGGCAGCAGCACCAGGCGCAGCGGCAACAUCAGCAGCGGCAGCAGCAGCAGCAGCCGUCACCGCUCCGCCCGCCGCCGGCCGCGGCUCGGACGGCCGGACCCCGGUCUCCGGCGGCCGGCAGCGGAGGCAGCCUUCUGCAGCGCAGCAGCAGCUCGGACAUGCUGCGCUGCGGUGGCGGCUCGCGGCCGUUCGAGGCUCGCUUCGACGCCGCCAGCGCCAAGCAGAAAAAGCAGCAGCUCGACUCUUUCUUCCGAGAGCGCGAGGACGAGCGGCUGGCGCGCUCGUUCGACGACCUGCUCGACGACGAUGACCUGGCGCUGGCGGCGCCGGCGGGUAAGUCAGCCGGCCGCGCGCCGCACGCGCUCGCCAAGUCGCACACGGUCGGCGACAUGCGCUCUGCUCAGCGGCGGCCGGCAGCGGCCGGCGGCUCGUUCGCCCGUCGUCAGCACGCCUGGGAGAGCAGCACGGGAGCGAGCAUGGCCGUCGGACUGGGCUCCUCAUCCACCUCCUCUUCGAAGAGCAGCAGCAAAUCUCGAAGCAAAAAGAUUGACGACGAUACUCUGGACCUAGUCAGAAAAUACUUCGCAAAGGAGAGAAUGUAGUGCAUUUAGAGAACUGCGUAGCGCUCGGCUGUGAUCACAAACCAGGUAUCCGGCUGCUGGGAAAAAGAAAAAUGAUGGCUUCGAACUGGACUGCGUGCCCCAGGGAAAGGGAACUAAGGAGGUCAUGCUGUUCUGGGUCCAGUGCCGGCUGAGGGACUACAAGACGAUCAAGGUGGAGAACUUCUCCACCAGCUGGGCUGACGGCAUGGCCUUCUGCGCGCUCAUCCAUCACUUCUUCCCGGACGCCUUCGACUUCAACAAGCUCGACCCGAGGAACCGGCGCUACAACUUCGACCUGGCCUUCAGGACGGCCGAUCAGCGGGCGGGCAUUUUUCCGCUGCUGGACGCCGACGACAUGGUCUCCAUGGAGAAGCCCGACUGGAAGAGCGUGUUCGCCUACAUCCAGUCCAUCUACGCCGUGCUGAAGUAGGCGCCGCCGCAGUCCGGUCUCCGCGCGGCGCCGCUCCCAGCCCGGCCCCCCUCAGCGCCUGACCUCCGCCCCUCCCUCUCCCCCUCCCGGCGCCCUGCCGCGCCUGCAGGGCUGCCGUGUCCCCUAGAUGAGGACCUGUCCAUGUGGUCUGUGAGCGCGAUCGUGAUCGCCGGUCGGCCGCGUGCCGCCGCCAGGUCGAGUGUAGCGGCUAGCUGGAGACUGAGAGCUCCACGCACGGUGAUGUGGCCUUCUGUGGGCUUCUGUCAGCGUCUGUGAUCAGAGCUGAGAGUACGCCCCGGUGAAGUGCCGCUCUUUUUCACCGUGUACAAAGUGGCAUCGAGCGUCAACUGAAUGCGAGUGGUUGUGAUCACAGGAGGAUUCCGAGACUACUUGGCUUUUGGUUCGGCUGGAGCAGGACUGAAAGCUUCGCACAGUUAACGGCCUUCUGUACAUCGGCGCUACGCGAUGUCCGUUGUAAGCAAUACUGUUUGUACUGAUAGGUAGCCGGAUGGAUGGUAUUCAUCGCUUUUUUAACCAGUCAAUAAAGUGACGGCCUAGGUGGUA